rnacentral:lncRNA from 1 species
UAUCGGUGUGUGUCUCUGUGUUGGUGUAGGGGGCUUUCAGGAAGUCCUAUGUCCACUGGGGCAGGCUGUAGGGCUGGGUUACACCUCUCUCUCAUCCCACCCAUCCCUCCAUCCAACCAUUCCUUGACACUAUUUUUUGUAGGUGGAAUUUUUGGGGCUGCGCACAUCCCCCCUUUGGAUUCCUUACAGUUUCUGUCUCCGGCUUGAAGGAGAGGACAGGGGAGAGGGAGAAAGCGAUAGAAGAGUGGAUUUAGUACUGAAGAGAGAGAGUGGGAGAGGAGAGAGGGAUCAUGUCUGGACUCUCGGCAGUGUUGAAGAGCUGGGUCAUCCUGCAGACUCUGUGCCUGGCUCUGGCCCAAGUGAACGGUCCUCCAGGACCUCAAGGCAAUCCCGGUCCGCCCGGUCCCUCUGGCACCCCCGGGUCUGAUGGCAUUGAUGGGGAAAAAGGACCUCCUGGGCCUUCUGGCCCACCAGGGUUGAAGGGGGACCCAGGUGAGCCUGGUCCAGAUGGACCUCCCGGAGAGAACGGCAUCGACGGUUUGAUGGGACCAAAGGGAGACGGCGGCCCUAUUGGGAACCCUGGACCUAAGAGUAAUGGAAGCAUCUCAAUAGUCCAAAGCAAUGAUUCUCAAAUUUGGUGGUCACGGCUCGGUAGUUUCUGGGUCAGGCUCGGUAGUUCUGGGUUCACGCCGGUAGUUUCUGGGUCACGGCUCGGUAGUUUCGG